rnacentral:rRNA from 1 species
CUACGGGAGGCUACAGUGAGGAAUAUUGCACAAUGGGGGGAACCCUGAUGCAGCAACGCCGCGUGGAGGAUGACGCAUUUCGGUGUGUAAACUCCUUUUAUAUGUCAAGAAAAUGACGGUAGCAUAUGAAUAAGCACCGGCUAACUCCGUGCCAGCAGCCGCGGUAAUACGGGGGGUGCAAGCGUUACUCGGAAUCACUGGGCGUAAAGGACGCGUAGGCGGGCUUGUAAGUCAGGUGUGAAAUCCUACAGCUUAACUGUAGAACUGCACUUGAAACUACGAGCCUAGAGUAUGGGAGGGGCAGAUGGAAUUAGUGGUGUAGGGGUAAAAUCCGUAGAUAUCACUAGGAAUACCUAAAGCGAAGGCGAUCUGCUGGAACAUAACUGACGCUAAGGCGUGAAAGCGUGGGGAGCAAACAGGAUUAGAUACCCUUGUAGUC